GGAAGGAUCAUUAUUGAAAUAAACCUGAUGGGGUUGUUGCUGGUUCUCUAGGGAGCAUGUGCACGCCUUGUCACCUUUAUAUCUCCACCUGUGCACCUUUUGUAGACCUCUUCAGGUCUAUGUUGCUUCAUUUACACCAACGUAUGUCAAUAGAAUGUUGUGCCUAUAUAUAAUAUAUACAACUUUCAGCAACGGAUCUCUUGGCUCUCGCAUCGAUGAAGAACGCAGCGAAAUGCGAUAAGUAAUGUGAAUUGCAGAAUUCAGUGAAUCAUCGAAUCUUUGAACGCACCUUGCGCUCCUUGGUAUUCCGAGGAGCAUGCCUGUUUGAGUGUCAUUAAUAUAUAU
rnacentral:misc_RNA from 1 species